rnacentral:lncRNA from 1 species
UUAAAUAGUAACAAGAGGAAAAACACAAAACACAACACAUAUUUUAGUUUUUAAUAUAAACUUCUUUAAAAAAAAAAUAAAAAAAAUGAGAGCUUUGAUUUUGGUACCCCGGAGACGACGGGGAUACAUAUGUUCGAGAGACUGUCUCAUCUCAUCUCUCUCUCUCUCUCUGACUCCUUUGUUUAUUUCUUAAGUUUCUCCCCCACUCUCUUCG